rnacentral:tRNA from 1 species
CUAUAAUGGCAAGAUGGCCGAGUUGGUCUAAGGCGUUAGACUCAAGGGAAUUACCUAGGUAUCUCUUCGCUGCGUAGCAGCGAGCAUUCUAAUCUCGCAAGAGGCACGGGUUCGAAUCCCGUUCUUGUCAU